rnacentral:rRNA from 1 species
UACGAAGGGGGCUAGCGUUGUUCGGAAUCACUGGGCGUAAAGCGCACGUAGGCGGGCCGUUAAGUCGGGGUGAAAUCCUGGAGCUCAACUCCAGAACUGCCUUCGAUACUGGCGGCCUUGAGUCCGGGAGAGGUGAGUGGAACUGCUAGUGUAGAGGUGAAAUUCGUAGAUAUUCGCAAGAACACCAGUGGCGAAGGCGGCUCACUGGCCCGGUACUGACGCUGAGGUGCGAAAGCGUGGGGAGCAACAGG